rnacentral:rRNA from 1 species
UCAACGAGUCGGAUUGUUUGGGAAUGCAGCCCAAAUCGGGCGGUAGACUCCGUCCAAGGCUAAAUACAGGCGAGAGACCGAUAGCGAACAAGUACCGCGAGGGAAAGAUGAAAAGGACUUUGAAAAGAGAGUCAAAGAGUGCUUGAAAUUGCUGGGAGGGAAGUGGAUGGGGGCUGGCGAUGCGCCCCGGCCAUAUGCGGAACGGCUCUUGCUGGUCCGCCGCUCGGCUUGGGGUGUGGACUGUUGUCGGCCGCACCGGCGACCAAAGCCCGGGGGCCCUAGGUGCCCCCGGUGGCCGUCGUCGGCAUGGCCGGUACCCGCGCACCGAAAGGCGUGUCCCUCGGGGCACUGCGCUGCAACCGCCUGCGGGCUCCCCAU